rnacentral:rRNA from 1 species
GAUGAACGCUGGCGGCGUGCCUAAUACAUGCAAGUCGAGCGAACUGAUUAGAAGCUUGCUUCUAUGACGUUAGCGGCGGACGGGUGAGUAACACGUGGGCAACCUGCCUGUAAGACUGGGAUAACUUCGGGAAACCGAAGCUAAUACCGGAUAGGAUCAUCUCCUUCAUGGGAGAUGAUUGAAAGAUGGUUUCGGCUAUCACUUACAGAUGGGCCCGCGGUGCAUUAGCUAGUUGGUGAGGUAACGGCUCACCAAGGCAACGAUGCAUAGCCGACCUGAGAGGGUGAUCGGCCACACUGGGACUGAGACACGGCCCAGACUCCUACGGGAGGCAGCAGUAGGGAAUCUUCCGCAAUGGACGAAAGUCUGACGGAGCAACGCCGCGUGAGUGAUGAAGGCUUUCGGGUCGUAAAACUCUGUUGUUAGGGAAGAACAAGUACAAGAGUAACUGCUUGUACCUUGACGGUACCUAACCAGAAAGCCACGGCUAACUACGUGCCAGCAGCCGCAGUAA